CUGCAGGCCCCAUUUUCAAACUGAUUUCUUCCUUGCUGCUGACUCCUUAACUGCAUUCCCUCAGCUUGCUCUAUAGCUGCGGAAGAUGUGGCCAGGAUUUGGGUUGCAGUGAUCGACCUGAUGUUUCACCUGAGAAAAAAACAAAUGGAGGUGAGAGACUGUAAUCCACAAAGAUUUGCCAGAAAGCCACAGAGUUUACAAGCAACAGGU